rnacentral:rRNA from 1 species
CAAUAGCGUAUAUUAAAGUUGUUGCAGUUAGAACGCUCGUAGUCGGAUUUCGGGGCGGGCCGACCGGUCUGCCGAUGGGUACGCACUGGUCGGCGCGUCCUUCCUUCCGGAGACCGUGCCUACUCUUAACUGAGCGGGGGCGGGAGACGGAACGUUUACUUUGAAAAAAUCAGAGUGUUUCAAGCAGGCAGUGCGCUCUUGCAUGGAUUAGCAUGGGAUAAUGAAAUAGGACUUUGGUGCUAUUUUGUUGGUUUCGAACACCGAAGUAAUGAUUAAAAGGGACAGUCAGGGGCACUCGUAUUCCGCCGAGAGAGGUGAAAUUCUCAGACCAGCGGAAGACGAACCACUGCGAAAGCAUUUGCCAGGGAUGUUUNCACUGA